CUACGUGCCAGCAGCCGCGGUAAUACGUAGGGCGCGAGCGUUGUCCGGAAUUAUUGGGCGUAAAGAGCUUGUAGGCGGUUGGUCGCGUCUGCUGUGAAAGGCCGGGGCUUAACUCCGGUUUUGCAGUGGGUACGGGCUAACUAGAGUGCAGUAGGGGAGACUGGAAUUCCUGGUGUAGCGGUGGAAUGCRCAGAUAUCAGGAGGAACACCGAUGGCGAAGGCAGGUCUCUGGGCUGUAACUGACGCUGAGAAGCGAAAGCAUGGGGAGCGAACAGGAUUAGAUACCCUGGUAGUCCAUGCCGUAAACGUUGGGCACUAGGUGUGGGGGACAUUCCACGUUUUCCGCGCCGUAGCUAACGCAUUAAGUGCCCCGCCUGGGGAGUACGGCCGCAAGGCUAAAACUCAAAGAAAUUGACGGGGGCCCGCACAAGCGGCGGAGCAUGCGGAUUAAUUCGAUGCAACGCGAAGAACCUUACCAAGGCU
rnacentral:rRNA from 1 species